GGCUGACGUUGGGGUGACGCGCCAACUUAAUCACACCUGACGUCACGUCUGGUCGUCUUGGCUCACCGGUCGCGAUUGGCCAGGCUCGUUUGGGGGAUCCCCUGCUAAUUGGGUGCCCAGGUUGCCUGGUCCUGUUACCUGGAGUCGGAGCUCCGCCCCUUGGGGGGAGAGUAGUGGAGAGUCGGGAGUGUGGGGGGAAUAUUUCCUGCGCUGGUGGUCCUUGGAGAAGAGGAUCCCCACCCAAAAUAAGUGGCCAAGUCCCACCACCAUCAGCCAGAGCUGCCUGGACAGUGACACCCUACCACCCAUUGACAACCAGCUUCCUGUCUUGUGGAGUGGCAGUUGGUGGAAGCCAGCUGUUAUGAUUCAUACCAUUUAAGAAUUCUGCUUUUUGAGAAGUGACGCUAAUGGAGCCAGGCUGAAUGAUGUCUGAUUGGGAGAAUUUUCUUUGUGAAAGAGUGAGAAUUGUUUCUAGAAUGCAGCAGACCAUGAGCUUGGCAGUUCCAAGUGCACUGAAGCAAUGAGAGCUCCCUUCCUGGUCACAAGAUGGCUACAGCAGUUCCAGCUGUCACAAGCUCACACACAAAUAUCCAGGCUGACUUCACUCACCAAUUAAUUGGUUAAUGUUUGCGAAUGUUUUGAGAGGAUAAAAAGCACUUUCUCAGAGCAGUGCCCUAUCGUUCCCUCUCAUGAUUGUGGUUUGUCAUCCACCUGAAGUAAGUGGGCUCUGCUACCUUUCCUGGUAAGAGCACUUUAAUCUGUAGAGAAAGGAGGAGGCUUUGCAGCUGUGAUGCUAAAGAUCCAUUCACCAGGUUUAGAUGAGGGAGAUGGGAAUGCAACACAAUGAGAACAAUGUUUGGAACCUUCUCUCUGGAUCAGCAUAUUUUCAACUUCCGUCUGAAUAAUCCAUGUGCCCAUGGGUACAAUGGGUACUCCAGCAUCUAUGUUGAAACUCUCGAAAGACUGCAUGUUCUAAGCCCCUGGGCACUGGAGCUGCCAGAGCCUCCUUCAUCCCCACCCUUUCUGGAAUGGCACUGAGAAAAGGGAGUCAUCCAGAAGAGGUCAUUUAAACCUUUCUUUAUUUGCUCUUGAACAUUGAAACCAUUUAAACUAGAAGAAACUAAACUACUAUUUAUUAAAAAGUCUUUGUCCUGCUGAUGGAGACCUCAUAAGGAAUAUCAUUUGAGCCAUAGAAAAUAAAGAAUCUGCUUUUCUGGGUGCACAUUUGGAAUCAGACACCCCCUAUCUACAGAACCUCAGAAGGAGCCAGCUGGCAAAGCAGAAAGUGUUAGGCAGAGUCCCCAGCCUUAGCAUCGCAGGAAGAGGAGAUCAGGACACACGGGCAACACAGAUCAAGGGAAGACCAUGGAAGGAUGAAUCUACGCCAACUGAAACCUUGAUCUUGGACUUCUAGCCUCCGGAACUGGUAAAGAGCUAGGACUGCAAGUGGUUCACUGUGGAGAAGGCUGAAGACUUCUUGACUAGUGAAAGGAUGGUAAUGCUGAUAUGUUACAGACCAGUUGUUCUUCCCCUUGUGGCCUCCCCACAGUGUGGAUCCCAAUAGCACUCUUCAGUGCAGCCCUGGAAAGCAAAUAUGACUGAGCCCUCCACGUUCCACAGAGACAAGAAGCAGGAAAUUGUGUCAUGCUGAAGAACAAGGCCGGAUGGUGUUUUGCAGGUGCUUACCUAGCUGGAGGGAUGUAAAGGAUGAAGUAAAACCUGAGGGCCCACCUACAGGAAUUUCGCACCACUAUGGAGUGGAAAAAACUUGGCUGAGAAUUUUGAGAUGACAGAUAAGACAGCCAUGCCUGUGGCAUGCUGAAGUUCCCGGACUGGGAAUUGAACCUCUGCCACAACA